AGAAAAAGAGGCUUAGGUGGCUAACGGAAUGGACAAAAAGGAGAAAUCAAACAGAGGAUGAUGACCUCACGGGAGCAGAAGUUGAACCAAGGGAGACUUGGGUGGAUGCUCCUGUGAAUGCACAUAAUAAUAAGGAAAAGGAAGGAUCGAGGAGAAAGCUUGUCUUUAGUGAAGAAAGAGAUGUAAAAAGACCACAGGAAAACGAAUCUGAUAAUGAAUAGCGAAAAAAAAAAAAAAAAAAUAUAGAGAGAUAAAAAUAGAAAUGGAAAGAUGUGAAUAAUAUAAGGAAAUAAUUGUGGUACUAUUCUCGUUACAGAGAGAGAAGUCAUCCCAUCGGAAGAAUGGAACGGCUCCACCUAAUUUGGAAUAAAAGACAUUAUGAUAAGGAGGCUAGAAAGGUAUUAUGGGAAAGAGAUUAUAUCAAGGAUAUCAAAGAAAACAGACUUAAACCUUACGCCAUAGCCGAAAAGAAUAGGAAAAGAAAGGAAUGGAGGCGGAGAUGGGAUGAAAAAUCAAAAAUAGGGAUAAUCAGUAAGGCCGUUGUAAUCUUUCUGAUAUUGACACUCCUCGGCCUAUUAACGGCAAUUGGAGUCAGGACAUGGAUGGAACUAGGGAGGACAGGUUCCAUUAAACGAGUGGUUAAAGAGAAACUGGUUAGGUGUAAAUCAUGUAAUGUAUAUACACCCAGGGCAGAGGUAGAGAUCCCCAUCCCUUUUGGCACUGGGAGAAAGAUGGUCUUUGAUCAAGAGAGAUACAUAAGAGGAGGGAUCCAAUUCCUAGCUCUCACCCGAGGCUUGGUGGGAAGAUGUGACAGGGAAUUUUUUCUCCCUGAAAUUACGGAUCAUAAAUUAAAACAAGGGCAUAAUGAGGGAGAUGAGAAUAGGCGGCUUAGCUGCAUUGAAUAUGACCAACACCCGAGGUCAAAUCGGCCUGACAAAUGCCUAAAGGAAUUAAUGUGGAAAAAGCUGGUGCUAAGAAACAACACAGCUUUAAUGGAAAAUCUUAUGGAUAAAGGGGAGGAAAUAUGCAGGAAAAUAAGACUUAUAAAGUUAGAAAUGGUUAAAAGGGGCCUGAGUGACUAUAAAGGAGAAAUAGGCUAUGCAAUAGAGGGAUGUAUUUCUCUGUUCCCGCACCCACGGGGUGUAAGGUCAAAGGAGGAGCAAACACUGUCUCCAACGGGAUUAGUGAGUAUAAACAUUACAAAGCCACAAAGUAAAAUUUCACCUGAGUCACCUAUAAGGAAGAUAAACACAACAACUCCCCCGACGGCUGCAUUAGACAGUACAAAUGGUAAUAUAACAAAUAAAGGAAGUAAGAAGUGUGUAAAGAAAAUGGAAACAAUGAAACUUAACGGAUGCAAGAUAACCUUUGAGGCUUAUCAGGGGCCAUGCUGUGAGGAAAUGAUAAUGAGGAUAAUGGAACAACUCUCAAGAGUGGCCUAUAAAAACAUGUGUGAGGCAGUAAGUGGGGACAUGAAAAUAUACACGUGGGAAGAUUAUGAGGAG
rnacentral:lncRNA from 1 species